GCGACCGCAUUGGGACUGUUCUACCUGAGCUUUUUCUUGUCUUGGUACUUGUACAAGUUUUACUCCUUUUGAGAUGAUCUUUGACAUCUUAUCACUUUGUUGAUCAAACCUGCAAUCAAGCACAAUUUAUGAGCCUUUUGAGACUAUUUUAUACGAAUUUCCAAUUAAAGUAUGAGCAAGAAGGAGUAUAAAAUGCAUUAAAGUCCCUAGUUAUCAAGGAUAACAAAGAGGAACAAAGUAAAGUCAACAUGUUAGCAUUGGGGAAUUUAAUAGCUAAAAAUAUCACAUUAUGUGCAAUGCUCUUAGCAACAAUUGACGGUUCAAAAAUAAUUUCGAGAGUCACAAGGUCACUUGACAUCAUCCCAAUUUAUUCAUUUCAAUCUUCUCUAUUCUUUUCUUUUCUAGCAUUUCUUGGCUUGCUCAUUUUCCUUCUUCUUUUUUCUCUAAUUAUAACUCUUUUCUUUCCUCCCAUUUCUCACAUCCCGUGAUUCCCCCUCCUUUUUUUUCUUUUUUUCUUUUUUUUUUGUUUUUUCAUUUUAAUUAAAAAAUAACUCGAUUGAAUCCUAUGUAGGUUACCUACGUACCAUGAUGCUGCAUGAAUCAGAUCUUUACGUAGUUUGGAAAAAUCGAGAAUAGACUAAACAAACUAAUCUUCUCUUUUUUAUUUCUUUUAAAAACCUUAAUGACUACUCGGAUUAGAAAAGAGAAAUAAAAGAAACAAAUCUCUUUUUUUCCCAAGACUUAAUGGUCUAUAAUCUAUUCUAAACUCAAAGUUUAAUGGAUUUUUUUUCUUUUUUUUUCUUUUUGAAACAAAUACUCUAUUAAGGAAAAAUCCUAGAAGAGAAAGAUAUUUUUGAUUAUUUUUUAUUAUUUAAGAAGGAAGUUUAAAGAAUAAACCAAGGAAAAAUAUUUUGAAUUUUCAUUUGAUAUCCCUAAAGAAAGAUUUCGAACCAAGAAAUCAAAAAGAUAAAAAAAAAUAUUUUUGAAUUUCGAUUUUAUUUUCUAAGAGAGAAACUCUGAGGAUAAAUCAAAGAUAAAGUAUGUUGUUUUCUUUUUCUUCAAUGUACAAUGUCCUAGAAUUCUAGUAAAAAUAAUUUUUUUUAGUCAUUAUCAUCAAUUUCCCAACGAAGAAACUCAAAAAAAAAUCUUUUUGAAUUUUUGAAAUUAAUAUCUUAAAGAAAACUUUUAAAGAGAUACUAAAAGAAAAUUCUUUUUUUUAAAUAUUUAAUCUUAAUGUACUAAAGGAAAUAUAAAAGUAAUUUUUAAAAUUUUUUAGUCCUAAAUAUUAAUUUAAUAAAGGAAAACCACAUCAAAUGAAAUUUAUUUUUUAAUUCCUAAAAUUUGUAUUCUAAAGAAAACUUCAAACGGAAAUAUAAAAGUACAAAAUCUUUUCUUUUUGAAUUUUUGAUUUAUAACAUAUUUUCCAAAUACAAAAUAAGAAGUACAAAUAAUAAAAAAACUCGACAUUACUAUACAAAGCUAGAAGGUAAAAUACAACAUAAAAAGAAAAAUAGAUUCAAAAUAUAAAAAAUAAAAAGAAAAUUUCCUUAAGCAACUCCUCACUGAGCGAUCCUGACUAGAUGGUCUUUAGGCUCUGUCAUGCACAAAUUCCGGUAAAUAGAUCCACACUAGUAUGAGAAAAUUAAUAUCAAAUAAGUUAAAGACCUGAGAUUAUAACACUCCCUAUUGCACGAAUGCAAGAUAUGAUUGAGACUAUUUUUGUAAAAUGGCUUAUUUGACUAAUAGGUGGCUAAAAGUGCAAAAUUUGGCUAAGACCCCGCAAAACCAAGAACCUAAGAUUUACUAGGAAGACCGGACUGUAUGUGGGUUUCCUACGUAUCAUGCAUCGAAAGACGAGAAUUAGGUAUGCGUAGUUGGUACAGAUUGGAUACGGGCAAGAGUUAAAGAAAAAAACUAAUUUAGAGAAAAAUAUAUUUUUUCUCUUUUUUUAAAAAAAUAUGAUGGAACAUGUAAACUCCUUUUGGAUUUUCUUUCCCUUUUUUUUGAUUUUUUGAUUUUUGAAAAAUGAUUAAUAAAUGCAAAAUCUUUUUUUUGUUGAAAUUUUCAAGUUUUUUUUUCUUAACCAAAAUGUGUCAGAAACAUAAUUGGGACCUGCUUGCUUUAUUUUCACACUUCACAUUUCAUCCUUUUUUUUCUUUUUUAUUUUCCUUCAACUAUCAUUGGUCCGUCAAAUAAUCCGUUUACCCUUGAAGAAAUGUAACGUGUAGCACAUAUGAUACAUCAAGAUGGUUUUUUAUUUUGGGUACACCUGUCCUAGACGGACCCAACCCCUGUGCUGAGUCCCUACAUCAAAUGCGCAUGAUCCGUCAUGAGGCUAUGUUCUUCUAGGUUUAAAUUCUAGGGUUGUGUCCUAGACUUGGGUUACCCGAGUGGACAACUGGGGCCGAAGAUGGGGGCAAUGUACCGGGAGUACUAAAGUCUGCCUAGCCUUGUUGCUGUUCCAACCUCGUUCUAUUUGGUAUAAUUUCUAUAAAAAAAGUGGGCCACGCGAACGUGUACACCAUUUUCAUAAAACUCAGAGGGGUGGCGUAAGAAGACAGUUAUAUACAAUUCAAAUAAUAUCAAAACUGUAAAUAGACAUCAAUUAGCACAAAGAUUCACAAAAUACAGUAAUAUUAACAAUAAAUGAAUCCAAGUAAAAAUCAUUAACAAGCUUAAAUUCUUGAACCCUAAACUAGAAGUUAUGAUUUCUUAUCCCCAGCAGAGUCGCCAGAGAUGUCACACCUCCUUUUUCCUACACCUCCGGAAGGGUGUAAGAAACUUUUUUCCAAUUUAAGUGACAAUCGAAACGAGAUCAGUUAUAUUAAAUCAGAGUCGCCACUUGGGAUAAUUUAUGGUGUCUCAAAUUACCGUUUAAAAUUCCGAAUCGAGGAAGUUUGGCUCUAUUUAUGGUCCGCGAACACAGAAAUCCAGUUAAGGAAUUCUAUUACACCAAAAAAGAUGUUAGGCAUUCCGAGUUCCUUGGUUUAGCACAGUCGCUUUGAUCAUACUUGGCUUGAUUAAAAUUGUUUAAUUACUCAUUUUAGAACCUAUAUACAUUUACCUUUUACCGCCUUUACAUUAAGAAAAUUAUCUUGAAACGGAUCUCGUAUACAUAUACUCAUUUAUUUGGCGCAUCAAAAAUCAUGUCACGAACGUGUCCACAAUUAGUGACUCUUUAUUAUUAUUAAGAAAAUUUAGGUUAAAGUUACGAGAACACAUACUCCAAUUAUAUUUUUAGAAUAAUAAUUAUGUCACACGAAAAUAUACAUAACCAUGAUAGUAUAUUAAACGUACCUAAAACAAACUAUACAGGUUCAUGAUAACCCGAUUUCUAUUCAAUUUCAACUAUUCAGAUUCUUUUGUCUUCCAACAGAAGGAAUCUAUUUUCUUUUUCUAAAAUUAUUGAGGAAACUAAUUUUAUACCAAGAUAAAGAAGGAAAGAUUUAAUUAUAACCAACAAAAGGUUCACCCAAUCCUUAUGUUGCUGUCGACAAUAUACCCCUGAAUAAAAGGAAAUUCACUAUAGGAAAACUUCAACUAUUUCUUUCGGUUGCCCCAAUUACAUAUAUUUGCUAUCAUUUCUUAUAGACUUACUAUCUCUUCAUCAGCAGUAAGCAAUUUCAUAUACAUUUAUUCUGAAAAAAAAAACAAAAAAAAAAAAACUUAUCAAAAAACGAGAGUUCAGACAGUCCACCUUCCGAGGAUUUAUAAAAUUACGAAGGUCUAAGAACAACCAAACAAUGAAUUUUUGAUUAAAAGCAGACAUUCCGUCUCAAAAUAUCACAAGCAGGCCAAAAUAUAAGACAAAAUCAACAAAUAAAGGUUAAGAUAGUGACGGACCUCAAAUCGAAGUAAGUUUGAAUCUGAAAAUGCUUAAUACCAGAAAAUUUGGACAGCGUUAACUCGACAGAACCCACAUCUAUUCGGCAACCUCGGACGGAACUGAACAGACCCAACGACCAAAGCUAACAGCCUACAAUCUCAACAAAUGUUACUCUAAAUGGAACGACGAACGUGAAACUCAGUCGACAACCUCAAACGAAUUCCGCACGAGCUUUAAACAAACUCCAUCGUGGAAAUGAAAUUUCGGUUCUGGUUUCUGGCCAUUUCCGGUGGUGAAGGAGCAGCAGCCGGUCUGCUGUAAGGCGAAGAAGAAGGAGCAACAAUGAGGGAUGAACUGGUGAAGGUUUAAUUGUUGAGGGAGGGGUCAUUGCUGAAAAAGAGUGGUCUUUUAUGAAGAAGAAGACAUUAGAGUGGGGGUUGGGGGGUCCUCUUCUUUGUAUUGUAGCUGCUGGUUGUCUCUAUUAGGUUUUUUCCUAAGUC
rnacentral:lncRNA from 1 species